UGGGGUUGAAUAAUUAUGUUUGUAAUAUUUCAGAAGUUGGUAGAAAAAUAAAAUAAAAAUAGAAAAAGAAAGUAGAAAAGAAAAAAAUGAAUGAAAAAAAAUAUAAGGAUGUAUACAUGUCAAUACAUACUCCUUAUGAAAAGAAAAAAAAAAAGAGAAAGGAAAAAAAUGUGAAUGAAAACAGUUGCUAUAGAGUUGUUGAAGUGAAUGGAAUCUUUUAUAAAUUCAACUCUCGAAGUUUCUUUCAAGUCUCUUUUAUCUCUUUGAAUUUUAGCCUAGAACCCCUUAGGAUUUAUCUCACCCUUACCUUGGUCACCUUACAACCAAAUAAAAGUCCUUUUGAUCUUUGUGUGUAU
rnacentral:lncRNA from 1 species